rnacentral:rRNA from 1 species
GAUGAACGCUGGCGGCGUGCCUAAUACAUGCAAGUCGAACGAAACUUCUUUAUCACCGAGUGCUUGCACUCACCGAUAAAGAGUUGAGUGGCGAACGGGUGAGUAACACGUGGGCAACCUGCCCAAAAGAGGGGGAUAACACUUGGAAACAGGUGCUAAUACCGCAUAACCAUAGUUACCGCAUGGUAACUAUGUAAAAGGUGGCUAUACUACCGCUUUUGGAUGGGCCCGCGGCGCAUUAGCUAGUUGGUAGGGUAAAGGCUUACCAAGGCAAUGAUGCGUACCCAAAUGGGAGGGUGAAUCGCCACCAUGGGACUUAGGCACGGCCCCAACCCCUACGGGAGGCAGCAGUAGGGAAUCCUCCCCCAUGGGCGAAAGCCUGAUGGAGCAACGCCGCGUGGGUGAAGAAGGUCUUCGGAUCGUAAAACCCUGUUGUUAGAGAAGAAAGUGCGUGAGAGUAACUGUUCACGUUUCGACGGUAUCUAACCGGAAAGCCACGGCUAACUACGUG